rnacentral:rRNA from 1 species
UACGAGGGGGGCGAGCGUUGUUCGGAAUUAUUGGGCGUAAAGGGCGCGUAGGCGGUUUGGUAAGUCUCUUGUGAAAUCUAUGGGCUCAACUCAUAGUCUGCAAGGGAAACUGCCGGGCUUGAGUGUGGGAGAGGUGAGUGGAAUUUCCGGUGUAGCGGUGAAAUGCGUAGAUAUCGGAAGGAACACCUGUGGCGAAAGCGGCUCACUGGACCACAACUGACGCUGAGGAGCGAAAGUGUGGGGAGCGAACAGG